rnacentral:rRNA from 1 species
GACGAACGCUGGCGGCGUGCCUAAUACAUGCAAGUUGAGCGCUGAAGGUUGGUACUUGUACCAACUGGAUGAGCAGCGAACGGGUGAGUAACGCGUGGGGAAUCUGCCUUUGAGCGGGGGACAACAUUUGGAAACGAAUGCUAAUACCGCAUAAAAACUUUAAACACAAGUUUUAAGUUUGAAAGAUGCAAUUGCAUCACUCAAAGAUGAUCCCGCGUUGUAUUAGCUAGUUGGUGAGGUAAAGGCUCACCAAGGCGAUGAUACAUAGCCGACCUGAGAGGGUGAGCGGCCACAUUGGGACUGAGACACGGCCCAAACCCCUCCGGGAGGCAACAGUGGGGAAUCUUCGGCAAUGGACGAAAGUCUGACCGGCCAACGCCGCGUGGUUGAAAAAGUUUUUCGGACCGUAAAACCCUUUUGGUAGGGAAAAACGUUGGGGAGAGGGGAAACCCAACAAAGUGCCGGUAACACCCCAAAAGAGGACGGCUAACUACGU